GGCCAUGUCACGUUCAAACAUCUGUCCCCGUACGAUCAGCGAAGUUAAGCAACGUCGAGUCUGGUCAGUACCUAGAUGGGUAACCGCUUGGGAAUACCAGGUGAUGCAAG